CGCAGCCGCCCGCACGACCCUUCCUGUCAAUCCCAUCUCCACUCCAGCGCGCCGCCACCUCUGUCCCCACCCCGCCGGCGCGCCGCCAGCCCGCCUCCCGUCACCGCACGCCGCUGCCCCUCCCUCGCCGCGCGCUGCCGGAGUGCCUACCCCUGCCCCAAGUUACCCCAGCAACAGCCGCCACCGCCAGCAGCAGCAGCAGCAGCCGGAGAUCCCAUCUUGGGGCCGGCGCUGGUCGAGGAAGGCCCGAGUGGCGCCGCCGGCCGAGAAGCCCGCGCCAGAUGACGAUAGGAGCGAGGGCGUCGCCAGCCCGGACACCCCCGAGGACGACGAGCACGACGAGGCAGUAGCGACGGAGGACGAGGCCAAAGCCAGCGCGCAGGACAAGUGGGCGCAGGAGCAGCGCGGCGUGGUUGCGAGCUUGUCCCACGAGAACGCCCAUCUCCUAAAGGCAAUCUUCUUGACAAAGCUGAGGAUAGUGAAUGGCGGGGAUGAUGGUGCUGGAGAGCCGCCCCCUAUUGGCGUGAAAGCGCACGCUGGACUGUGGGACCUUAGCCAUGCCGAGUUCAACAAUAGAGUUCGGGUAAUUCAUAGAGAGGAGGAGCAUGGAGAAGGCUGCUAGAGCCUGAUAUAUUCGUUGUGACUUGGGCCUGACCAUUUGGAGAGGUAUAUGUUGAACUGGUGAGGUACAGAUUUCCAUCUGUCAUCUUUUCGUCAGCAUUUUAUUUAUCUUGUGGUUUCUGCAGUCACACAAAAAUUUGGGUACAAUUGAAAUAUAGGAUUAUAUGUAUAAUACUAUUGAAAUUAGAAGAGAUGCAUAUGAAUGUAUUAGAAGCUAGAGUAGGUGCAACAACCAAAACAAACAAGGCGAACUACACCCAGCUCUCACAGCCACAUAGCUAGCACAAGACCUUAAAGCAAAGUGCCACCAUGAUUCAUACAUGUUCCAGGAGAAACUAGAAUAUGAGCUACAAAUGUAGUGCAUCAGCAACAUUGUCUGUUACUCUGCUUCAUGUACAGUGCCAUUGCACAUUCAGUUAGGUACAUGCAGGACCUUGCAACAUUCAGUCAAGCUAACAGUCGAGCUUUCAGGCUCGCGUAAUCGGGCCGGCCCAUAACCAGGAAACGAGCACGUAAAAAUGGCACGAAAAACAAAACCGCACGCGAUGGGUUCGAUCUCGCGAACUCAAGCUAGGUAGCAGCGACGCCAACCACAUGAGCUAGCUGCCGACUACUCAAAUUGCAGCGCCCCAGUUAAAGUAGUUUAGCGACAGGUCUGUUUAUUUUUCUUAAAUAUUUUCAAAAAUUCUUGGAAACAAGUGUGGAUGAUUUUCCUUCAAAUAUUUGAAUACAUUUUUAAAAUCAUGAAUAAAUAUCAAAAAUUCAAACAAAAUUUUGCAACCUUAACAAAUUUUGAAAUUCCAAAUGUUUAUUUUAAGAUUGCCAUGGGCGGUCCUCACUUGUAGCUCGAUGAGAUUAGUUUUUUCUAUGUUUUAUAUGAACAUUCCCUUGCAUGGGUGUGGUUCGGGCAGUAUCGUGGAUGAGCUCGUCUCGACCAUGUCAGGAUACAUGGAUGAUCAGGUGGUGAACGGCCGACUUGGGUUCGGGUGUCAUGUCAAAAUAGAAGGCACAUCCAUGUGCAUGUAUGUGUGUGAGAGAGAAGAGGGGUCUUUAGACAUCACAGAAGCCGGACAUGCGAUAUUUUUCUUCUCCCGUUGCAACGCACGGGCAUUUUUGCUAGUAAUAAUAAAUCACGCAUUGAGUCUCCAGGUUCACCGUCAUGGCAUUUUUAUAAAAAAGAUCCUACUGUUUUGUGCAAUUAACCCGCACUCCAGUCUUUCGUAUCAUACACAGUAAUAAAUAAAAAAGGAAUCGUAAUCGCUGUUUCACAAGACCCGGACGGACGCAACGCCCCCGUCGUCCCCAACCCAUCGGGAGGACAAGGAUGUCGAACUCAGGCUGCGGCGCUGGUCCGGGUCUCCGGCUCUCCAUGGGGAUCGGACCGUCCUCCGGCGAUCUCAGCUUCCUCUUCCCCAACACCUCCGCUGCCUGAUAGAAAACAGAGGUGAUGAUCUCCGCCGCCGGCCUCCAGAUCCCCGGCGACUGCAAGGUGGUCGACGCGCGCCCACUCCUGGUGGCCCUCCUCUUCGCCGCCGUCCGCGCCUCGCCCGCCUAGGAACUCCUCCGCCUCUUUGCCGCCGCGCCCAUGAAGCUGAUCCAGGCUAAGUCCUGGACGCUGGAUGCAGAGUCUCCCAUUCAAGGAGAAGAGGCAGGAGCUGCUCUCUGGUGCCGAUGGAGGGGGGAAGGAGGAGCCAGCAAUGGCACCAUCAGGUGCUGAUGCUCUCCGGUGCCGAUGGAGGGCGGCAUCAACAACAUGAGGUGGUAUUCAAGAGGUAGAGGGAGGACACGGUUGUACUGGGUGAGGGGGCUUUGCCGAGGAUUGGUGGAUGGAUACUUCUCUGUGCCGUUGGCAGUGCGGGAGGGGAUGGCCAGGAAGUGGGCUACCAAUGGCGUGCUCUUGCAGGUGAUUCUGAAUUUCAGAUACUUUUUGUCGAAGAUGUCUGACAUCUUCAUAUUGAAUCAUUGCAUAUGUAGACAUAACAAAUCAAUUGGGCAUUAAUAUUGUAUCACUUCCGCUGGAAAUAUUUCCAAGUUUACUCAUAUGUAAUUGGUAAAUGAUAAUGUUGCUGCACUCCGUGGUAUUGUUUUUAUGUGACAAUGGAACAUUUUAGUUUUAGUCAGUAUGAUGGGGCCCUCUAGGCGGGAUGGCAUGGACCCAACAGCAAGGAUAUCGAUCAUGAUGGAUUCAACCAUUCUGCUCGACAUUGGAUGCCAUAAUAUGCUUAUGAUGUUGGUUAACUGAGGUACUCUAGCCCCAACCAAGCUAUGGCUCAUCCAACCUCUGGUCAGGUUCACUAUUAUUCAAUCUUAGUGCUGCAUAUUUCUAUUUGGAUGAUACUAUAUCUUAUUCCUGAGUUGUUAUUUGUAACGUGAUGAUGAUUGUUAAGAAUUGAUGCCAUUCUUUCUCCUGCCCCUUCUCUUUGUAGAUUUAACUACUCAAGGAGGUUUGAGGAAGAGCUCGCUGGGCGAAUUCUUCGGUGGGCUCAGCCGGCGCAUGACACGGACACUCGGACAAGGUCGAGCCAGCGGCUAGGCUUAGCCAUAAGGAGUACUGUGGAGGUCAUGGGCGGCAAGGGAAGUAAGUGGCAACAUGAAUGGGGCGCCAUGUUGCAAUGAAGGGCGUGGGCUUAUGGGGUUUUGACUCUUUGAGUCAUGCUUACUGGGCUAAGGGCACCCGAUAUUUUCUUGAUUCUGUUCCAGCACCAGUUUACCACGGUAAAGACAAUCCACAACCUUAUGAUCAGAAGACUGGAUGGUUAUUGUAAAUUAUCAUCCUCUUUUGAAGUGGGUGAGAGGCAUGGUAGUUAUUUUGUAUUGCACCUCAAAACAGGUAAACAUCACUUCUCCUUUGUGGACCUGUGCAUUGUGCUCAUCGAUAAGUUUUGUCCCGAAUUUUUUUCUCAUUUGAGUUUUGCCACAUUUGGUAUUGUUCGAUAUGCUAUUUAAUAUAUAGUGUGUGCUCCCACCUCAGUUGAUCAAUUGUUUUUCACUUAGCAGCGGGUGCUGAUGAACCAACUAUGCCAGUAAUGUCCUUAAUUUUAGAGAAGAUGCAAAACCAAGAACAUGCAUGAGCUUGCAUACUUGCUGGUAGCCGGGAGAAUUUUCAGUGACCAAUGGAAGCUUUGAUGUAUUCUUUUCAAGCAAAAUAAAUCGUCUACUACCCAUGUCAGGUUUCAGCUCAAAUUGUGGUGAUUCUAUUCUAUGCAAUUUAAUUUUCUUGCUAAUGCUACGUUUUAGCAAUCCUUA